UGGGGAAUAUUGCGCAAUGGGGGGAACCCUGACGCAGCCAUGCCGCGUGAAUGAAGAAGGCCUUCGGGUUGUAAAGUUCUUUCGGUAUUGAGGAAGGUUGAUGUGUUAAUAGCACAUCAAAUUGACGUUAAAUACAGAAGAAGCACCGGCUAACUCCGUGCCAGCAGCCGCGGUAAUACGGAGGGUGCGAGCGUUAAUCGGAAUAACUGGGCGUAAAGGGCACGCAGGCGGUUAUUUAAGUGAGGUGUGAAAGCCCCGGGCUUAACCUGGGAAUUGCAUUUCAGACUGGGUAACUAGAGUACUUUAGGGAGGGGUAGAAUUCCACGUGUAGCGGUGAAAUGCGUAGAGAUGUGGAGGAAUACCGAAGGCGAAGGCAGCCCCUUGGGAAUGUACUGACGCUCAUGUGCGAAAGCGUGGGGAGCAAACAGGAUUAGAUACCCUGGUAGUCCACGCUGUAAACGCUGUCGAUUUGGGAGUUGGGGUUUAACUCUGGCGCCCGUAGCUAACGUGAUAAAUCGACCGCCUGGGGAGUACGGCCGCAAGGUUA
rnacentral:rRNA from 1 species